AGAGGGCUCCCAGUGCACAGAGGAUGUGAUGUGGACGCCAAGAAUCCCAGAAAAACAAAAGGAAAGAGCUUCACCAUCCACAUUCCAGCAGAUCUCUUAUUCUCCUGGCUUCCUGGCUUCCAGGGAUGUUACCCCAAGAGGUAGAACCAGAGCAUUUCUACCUCACAUAGUCAGUGGCUCGGUUGUCCAAUAGAGCUGCCACAUGUAACCACUGAGCACUUGAAAUGUGGCUCCUCUGAAAUGAGAUAGGCUGUACGAAUAAAAAUAC
rnacentral:lncRNA from 1 species